AUUGAACGCUGGCGGAAUGCUUUACACAUGCAAGUCGAACGGCAGCACGGACUUCGGUCUGGUGGCGAGUGGCGAACGGGUGAGUAAUACAUCGGAACGUGCCCGGACGUGGGGGAUAACUACUCGAAAGAGUGGCUAAUACCGCAUACGAUCCAAGGAUGAAAGCGGGGGAUCGCAAGACCUCGCGCGUUUGGAGCGGCCGAUGGCAGAUUAGGUAGUUGGUGAGGUAAAGGCUUACCAAGCCUGCGAUCUGUAGCUGGUCUGAGAGGAUGAUCAGCCACACUGGGACUGAGACACGGCCCAGACUCCUACGGGAGGCAGCAGUGGGGAAUUUUGGACAAUGGGCGAAAGCCUGAUCCAGCCAUUCCGCGUGCAGGAUGAAGGCCCUCGGGUUGUAAACUGCUUUUGUACGGAACGAAAAGGCUCUUGCUAAUACCAGGAGUCCAUGACGGUACCGUAAGAAUAAGCACCGGCUAACUACGUGCCAGCA
rnacentral:rRNA from 1 species